rnacentral:rRNA from 1 species
CGGUUUGGCGGCAGCUACACAUGCAAGUCGGGCGGUAACAGGGAGAAGCUUGCUUCUCUGCUGACGAGCGGCGGACGGGUGAGUAAUGUAUGGGGAUCUGCCUGAUGGAGGGGGAUAACUACUGGAAACGGUAGCUAAUACCGCAUAAUGUCUUCGGACCAAAGCGGGGGACCUUCGGGCCUCGCGCCAUCAGAUGAACCCAUAUGGGAUUAGCUUGUAGGUGAGGUAACGGCUCACCUAGGCGACGAUCCCUAGUCUGGUCUGAGCCAGGAUGAGUCACUGGCCUCUAGUCGAGUGUUACUGAGACAUCGGCUGUACCUGCCUAUCGGGAGCGCAGCUAGUGUGGAAUCUUGCACAAUGUGCCCGAAGCUGAUGCAACCAUGCUGCGUGUUUUACGACGAUGCCUUCGGGUUUUAUAGUACUUUCACUCGGUGAGGAGGGGGUGUAGCCUUACUCGCCUCCUUUAUCUUGAAUUUUCCAGACAGGAAAUGAGCCCUGUUAACUUUUUCGUGCCAGUAUGCUGAUGAUAAUAGCGUGAGGGUUCUACGCUUUUAUCCAAGAAUUACCUGGGCUUUAUCCGCGCGCUGGGGGGGGGCCCUUGAUUUAAUUUAUUUAUAAAUCUUUCGGCUUUACGCCCGCGUACUCGCAUGGUGAUACUGGUUUAGCUAGAGUCUUGUAAGAGGGGGGUAGAAUUCGAUGUGUACGCGGUGAUAUACUUCGUUUAUCUGUGGAGGAACUACGGGGUGGUAAAAGGAUGGUGUUUUGCUCCCCUGGACUAAAGACUGUCGCUCCGGGUGCGUAAGUUUUGGGAGCAGGGGGGCACGAUUAGUUCCCCCUGGUUAUUUCCCCCGCUUUUAACUACUUUCUUCUCUGGAGGUUGUGGCCUUUCCGCCCGGCGUGGCUUCCAGGAGCUCACGCGUUAAACGUUGACCGCCUGGGGAUUACCCGGGGCUCAAGCGGGUUGAUUCUCCAUAGUGAAUUGACGGGGGCCCCGCGCGAGGCGGGUUGAGCAUGUGUUUUAAUUCUAAGAUGCCUCUGCGAAGACCACCCUUAUCCUACCCUCUUGUCGUCGGGAGAGUAUUUGGCCGUGUUUCUUUGUUUCCUCUCGACGGAGCAUCUUUAGACAGAGUGCUGCAUGACGUACUGUUCUUUAGCUUCGUGGUUGAUGUAUUUGUUGAGAGUCUGAGUCACCGCUCUUACUACGAGCGCAACCCUUAUCGUUUGUUUGAUCGACUGGCCUUGCGUAAUCGGUGUGGAUACAUCAAUACGGAGACCUGCUCGGUGCAUAAACUGGAGGAAGGUUAGGGCUCUUGAUGACGUCACGUCAUCUUGGCCCUUACGAGUAGCGGCUACACGCGUGCUACAAUGGCGUAUACAAGAGGGAAGCGUGUACUCUAGCCGAGGUGUCCUUGCUGAUCUCGACUAAAGUACGUCGUAGUCCGGAUUGGAGUCUGCAACUCGACUCCAUGAAGUCGGAAUCGCUAGUAAUCGUAGAUCAGAAUGCUACGGUGAAUACGUUCCCGGGCCUUGUACACACCGCCCGUCACACCAUGGGAGUGGGUUGCAAAAGAAGUAGGUAGCUUAACCUUCGGGAGGGCGCUACCACUUUAUGAUUUCG